UACGUAGGGCGCAAGCGUUGUCCGGAAUUAUUGGGCGUAAAGAGCUCGUAGGCGGCCAGUUGCGUCUGCUGUGAAAUCCCGGGGCUCAACCCUGGGCCUGCAUUCGAUACGGGCAGACUAGAGUACGGCAGGGGAGACUGGAAUUCCUGGUGUAGCGGUGAAAUGCGCAGAUAUCGGGAGGAACACCGGUGGCGAAGGCGGUUCUCUGGGCCUUACCUGACGCUGAGGAGCGAAAGCGUGGGGAGCGAACAGG
rnacentral:rRNA from 1 species